rnacentral:rRNA from 1 species
UACUGCAGUCGGACGGGAUUCGGUGCUUCGGUACCGAUGAGAGUGGCGCACGGGUGCGUAACGCGUGAGCAACCUGCCCAUUUCAGGGGGAUAGCCCGGAGAAAUCCGGAUUAAGACCGCAUAUGAUCACAUUACCGCAUGGUAGGGUGAUGAAAUAUUCAUAGGAAAUGGAUGGGCUCGCGUGACAUUAGCUAGUUGGUAGGGUAACGGCCUACCAAGGCGACGAUGUCUAGGGGCUCUGAGAGGAGAAUCCCCCACACUGGUACUGAGACACGGACCAGACUCCUACGGGAGGCAGCAGUAAGGAAUAUUGGUCAAUGGGGGGAACCCUGAACCAGCCAUGCCGCGUGCAGGAAGACGGCCCUACGGGUUGUAAACUGCUUUUGCACGGGAAUAACCCUCAUUAUGUAUAAUGAGCUGAAUGUACCGUGAGAAUAAGGAUCGGCUAACUCCGUGCCAGCAGCCGCGGUAAUACGGAGGAUCCGAGCGUUAUCCGGAAUUAUUGGGUUUAAAGGGUGCGCAGGCGGGGAUCUAAGUCAGGGGUGAAAGACGGUGGCUCAACCAUCGCAGUGCCUUUGAUACUGGAUUCCUUGAAUAUACCUGAGGUAGGCGGAAUGUGGCAAGUAGCGGUNAA